rnacentral:rRNA from 1 species
GAUGAACGCUGGCGGCGUGCCUAACACAUGCAAGUUGAGCGAUUCUCUUCGGAGAAGAGCGGCGGACGGGUGAGUAACGCGUGGGUAACCUGCCCUGUACACACGGAUAACAUACCGAAAGGUAUGCUAAUACGAGAUAAUAUGCUUUUGUCGCAUGGUAGAAGUAUCAAAGCUCCGGCGGUACAGGAUGGACCCGCGUCUGAUUAGCUAGUUGGUAAGGUAACGGCUUACCAAGGCGACGAUCAGUAGCCGACCUGAGAGGGUGGUCGGCCACAUUGGAACUGAGACACGGUCCAAACUCCUACGGGAGGCAGCAGUGGGGAAUAUUGCACAAUGGGCGAAAGCCUGAUGCAGCAACGCCGCGUGAGCGAUGAAGGCCUUCGGGUCGUAAAGCUCUGUCCUCAAGGAAGAUAAUGACGGUACUUGAGGAGGAAGCCCCGGCUAACUACGUGCCAGCCGCCGCGGUAA